rnacentral:tRNA from 1 species
AGUCCUGUAGCUCAGUGGUUAGAGCACUCGUCUGUCAAGCGAGAGAACUGGGUUCGAUUCCCGGCAGGGCAA